rnacentral:rRNA from 1 species
UUUCGCAAUGCCCGAAAGGGUGACGGUGCGACGCCGCGUGGGUGACGAAGGCCUUCGGGUUGUAAACCACUGUCAGGGGGGAAGAAGGCCCGAAUGGUGAAUUCGGGAGAGACGGUACCCCCAGAGGAAGCCCCGGCUAACUCCGUGCCAGCAGCCGCGGUAAUACGGAGGGGGCAAGCGUUGUUCGGAUUUACUGGGCGUAAAGGGCGCGUAGGCGGGACGGUAGGUCUGUUGUGAAAGUGCUACCGCUCAACGGAGCAAAGCCAACGGAAACCGCCAUUCUUGUGACCGGGAGAGGUGAGUGGAAUUGCUGGUGGAGCGGUGGAAUGUUUAGAUAUCAGCAAGAACACCGGUGGCGAAGGCGGCUCACUGGCCCGGUUCUGACGCUCAGGGCGCGAAAGCGUGGGGAGCAAACGGGAUUAGAUACCCCGGUAGUCCACGCCCUAAACGGUGGGCACUAAGUAGAGGGGUUUUAAUCUC